AUACGUAGGGGGCGAGCGUUGUCCGGAAUGAUUGGGCGUAAAGGGCGCGUAGGCGGCCCGGUAAGUCUGGAGUGAAAGUCCUGUUUUUAAGAUGGGAAUUGCUUUGGAUACUGUCGGGCUUGAGUGCAGGAGAGGUAAGUGGAAUUCCCAGUGUAGCGGUGAAAUGCGUAGAGAUUGGGAGGAACACCAGUGGCGAAGGCGGGUAACUGGACUGCAACUGACGCUGAGGCGCGAAAGUGUGGGGAGCAAACAGGAUUAGAUACCCUGGUAGUCCACACUGUAAACGAUGAAUGCUAGGUGUAAGAGGUAUCGACCCCUUUUGUGCCGGAGUUAACACAAUAAGCAUUCCGCCUGGGGAGUACGGCCGCAAGGUUGAAACUCAAAGGAAUUGACGGGG
rnacentral:rRNA from 1 species